GACAGAGGGGGCAAGCGUUGCUCGGAAUUACUGGGCGUAAAGGGCGCGUAGGCGGGAUGGCAAGUCGGUCGUGAAAUCCUUCGGCUCAACCGAAGAACGUCGAUCCGAUACUGCUGUUCUUGAGGGUUGCAGAGGAGACUGGAAUUCCCGGUGUAGCGGUGAAAUGGUGUAGAGAUCGGGAGGAACGACCGGUGGCGAAGGCGGGUCUCUGGGCAAUU
rnacentral:rRNA from 1 species